GGAUCAUGAUGACUCCCCACUUACACCAGCAUUCCUUGGAAAAGCUGAACAAAAUGAGUGAUAACGCCCUCAAAAAAUAAUAAUGAUCA
ensembl:snoRNA SNORD116 Small nucleolar RNA SNORD116